UCGUCGAGUCGUCCCUUAAACUUAGGGUUUCCUUUACUUUCUUGGCCUUCCUACUUUGACUUUGGGUGUUACACAUUCAUCAGCGGCCCUAUUCACUAGUCACCACCCUCCACCGCCAGACCAAUCAUCAUCACCACCGGAUUAACAUUACACCAGCGCACCACCAUCGCAUCAGUCGUCUCUCUCUAAAAUCGAACGACCAUCAUUAAAUGUCAUCGACCUCCUCAUUUACCAUUUGCAAUCUAAAAAAAAAGAACCUCUGAUUUCAGGGGAAGACAUUUCUAAUCGAAUCGAAUCAUUACUCCCAAAAAUUUGUUGAAAUUGGUGAUACGGGUAGAUAAAAAAAAAUGUUUUUUGAACAUAAUUCAUACAGUUACUUAUUGAUAGUGUCAUUUACAUGAAUUAGAGCUCUCACUCAUUCAUACGAAAGUUGUUGCACCACCACCACUCUCCUCAUUCCCACUUCCGUUCGUUUGUUUGUAGGUGUGUGAAUUGAGAUAUAUAUAAUUUGGUUUAUAAGUGUGUGUCUUGAAUACAUGAAAUUCAUGGCUAAAUGACCUCAUUCAAUCAUGUAUUCUCUAUAUUUACCCCUUCAAUCUGUUCAGUUAGAAUUUUGAUACAUGAUUUUUGUGGUGUAUUUCUUUGAUUUAUAGAAUUUCAAAACUUUGAUGAAGGUGGAGCGAUUUAAUUUAAAGAGUCAAGUUGUAUCUUUCUUCAAUAUCAUAACAAGUUUGUUUUUAUUAUAUGAAACUUUAUAAUUUGUUUAUACAUCAAUAUAUUGGAGUUGGAUUUAUGUUGCCAUGGGAAUUUUACUGUGAUAGAUGUUGUUUGGAUUUCCUUUUGCGAUGUUGACCAUUUUACCCCUACUGGUUACUAUUGCUCAGUUGAUGCCCUUAUAUUUCUUAGUUUUUCCCUUGGUUAUCUUAUUAGUGCAUCAAAUUGUUUGUUUUCUGAUAAAAGCUUCAAUUUUUUUGGUUGGGGUGUUAAUCACAUGUAAUUUUGGUGUGUAAUGAGCACCAAGAGCAGGAGAAAUAGCCAUUUCAAGUGCCAACAGUCCUAAAAAUUUUCAUACAUGAUGACUAGUUCAAUGAAAGUUGGGGUGGUAAACACAGUCGUUUGUUAACUAAAUAUAAAAGAAAAAUGGCUCCAAAAGUCCAAAGCCACAUGGAUGGCCAGGUGCAAUAGAUAAACGUCAUGGCAACUUCUUUGCAAGAUCAACAUGCAGACAUGUUUCCAUCUCCACUUGCCUUUAGGCUAUAUAACUCAAUGUUUGUGUUUGCUUAAUUACUCCUUCAAUAUAUAUUUUUAAUGUAUUUUUUUUACUACUUUGUAUUUUUGUUUUAUGUGUUCUUUCAUUGUUUUUUUUGUAUAUGUGACAUUUCAUUGGUUUUGAAUGUUUUCACUGAUCUUCACCAUUUAAACUGUGCUUCCUUGUUAAUAUGACAUCGAGGAGUUGGAAGUAUCAAGCGGCGGUAUCUACUUUUAUCGAUUUACAUGAAAAAGGACAUGCUUAUUUUUUAUACACCAGUUAGGCAUAUAAUGUGCUUGUAGUAAUGCCCAAGAGACAACACAAAAGGAGGUGAGUUCUGUAAUACUAUAAAUAAUCUCUGUUUACACUUUACAGUAACCCAUGUAUAAAUAAUAUAUGUUAAAGACAAAGGGUUAAGAUGCAAUUGCAGUUAAACGACUUGAAAUCUUUGUGUAUGUAUAUGUCCUUAAUCUACAAUUUUUCUUUUUUGUUUUGUAAUUAGCAAGCGAUUUUUAUUUAAUGAAACUAUGAAAUAUUUAUGUGUAUGUGUAUGUACCAGAUGAACCAAAUUAUUAUCUACUUUGACAGCCAAAAA